AUACUUACCUGGUAGGGAAGGUACCAUGAUCAUGAAGUUGGGUUUCCCAGAGUGAGGCUUUGUCCUGCAGGUGUGCUAACCCCUGCGAUUUCCCCAAAUGUGGGAAACUCGACUGCAUAAGGUGUGGUAGCGGGGGACUGCAUUCAUGCAUUUCCCUG
rnacentral:snRNA from 1 species